rnacentral:rRNA from 1 species
UACGUAGGGUGCAAGCGUUGUCCGGAAUUACUGGGCUUAAAGGGUUUGUAGGCGGCCAUGUAAGUCAGGUGUGAAAUCCCUCGGCUCAACCGAGGAACGGCGCUUGAUACUGCAUGGCUUGAGGGAGACAGGGGUAAGCGGAACUGAUGGUGGAGCGGUGAAAUGCGUUGAUAUCAUCAGGAACACCGGUGGCGAAAGCGGCUUACUGGGUCUCUUCUGACGCUGAGGAACGAAAGCUAGGGUAGCGAACGGG